UACGUAGGGUGCGAGCGUUGUCCGGAAUUAUUGGGCGUAAAGGGCUCGUAGGCGGUCUGUCGCGUCGGGAGUGAAAACUCGGGGCUUAACUCCGAGCCUGCUUCUGAUACGGGCAGACUAGAGGUAUGCAGGGGAGAAUGGAAUUCCUGGUGUAGCGGUGAAAUGCGCAGAUAUCAGGAGGAACACCGGUGGCGAAGGCAGCUUACUACACAGUUAUUGACACUGAGGCACGAAAGCGUGGGGAUCAAACAGG
rnacentral:rRNA from 1 species